AAGACCAGAGGAGGAGAAAAUGGCCACCGAUUUGUGAACAGAAAUAAAUACCUUUGAAAAUUAUUCCAUAACUAUAAUCUGUAAAAAAUGGAAAGACAAACCCUAGCUUCGUCAUCUUCAUCAACCAGUGGAAUUUCAAUAAUUUCUCCUCCACCAGAAGAUGCUUGGAUCACUACUUAUCAAAAGUUACGCCCUCAGUUGCAACC
rnacentral:lncRNA from 1 species